UACAGAGGUGGCAAGCGUUGUUCGGAAUUACUGGGCGUAAAGGGCGCGUAGGCGGCCAUCUAAGUCAGACGUGAAAUCCCCCGGCUUAACCUGGGAACUGCGUCUGAUACUGGACGGCUUGAGUUUGGGAGAGGGAUGCAGAAUUCCAGGUGUAGCGGUGAAAUGCGUAGAUAUCUGGAGGAAUACCGGUGGCGAAGGCGGCAUCCUGGACCGGCAUUGACGCUGAGGGAGCGAAAGCCAGGGGAGCAAACGGG
rnacentral:rRNA from 1 species